GACGAACGCUGGCGGCGCGCCUAACACAUGCAAGUCGAACGAGCGAGAGGGAGCUUGCUUUCUCGAGCGAGUGGCGAACGGGUGAGUAACGCGUGAGGAACCUGCCUCAAAGAGGGGGACAACAGUUGGAAACGACUGCUAAUACCGCAUAAGCCCACGGUGCCGCAUGGCACAGAGGGAAAAGGAGCAAUCCGCUUUGAGAUGGCCUCGCGUCCGAUUAGCUAGUUGGUGAGGUAAUGGCCCACCAAGGCGACGAUCGGUAGCCGGACUGAGAGGUUGAACGGCCACAUUGGGACUGAGACACGGCCCAGACUCCUACGGGAGGCAGCAGUGGGGAAUAUUGCACAAUGGGGGAAACCCUGAUGCAGCGACGCCGCGUGGAGGAAGAAGGUCUUCGGAUUGUAAACUCCUGUUGUUGGGGAAGAUAAUGACGGUACCCAACAAGGAAGUGACGGCUAACUACGU
rnacentral:rRNA from 1 species